AGUGAACGCUGGCGGUAGGCCUAACACAUGCAAGUCGAACGGCAGCACAGUAAGAGCUUGCUCUUACGGGUGGCGAGUGGCGGACGGGUGAGGAAUACAUCCGAAUCUACUUUUUCGUGGGGGAUCACGUAGGGAAACUUACGCUAAUACCGCAUACGACCUACGGGUGAAAGCAGGGGAUCUUCGGACCUUGCGCGAUUGAAUGAGCCGAUGUCGGAUUAGCUAGUUGGCGGGGUAAAGGCCCACCAAGGCGACGAUCCGUAGCUGGUCUGAGAGGAUGAUCAGCCACACUGGAACUGAGACACGGUCCAGACUCCUACGGGAGGCAGCAGUGGGGAAUAUUGGACAAUGGGCGCAAGCCUGAUCCAGCCAUACCGCGUGGGUGAAGAAGGCCUUCGGGUUGUAAAGCCCUUUUGUUGGGAAAGAAAAGCAGCAGGUUAAUACCCCGCUGUUCUGACGGUACCCAAAGAAUAAGCACCGGCUAACUUCGUG
rnacentral:rRNA from 1 species